UUCAUCAGAGCACUUGAUUGCUUUCAGAGUUGAGACAGCCAAGUCUUUAUUGUGUUUUCUUCCUCUAGGAAGCCAGUGAAGGUUUUGACAGGACCACAGUCAAAGAAUACUCAGGGAGCAGGUGAUUUAUCAGAAAUGCUUGCAAAAAAAAUGCCUCCUGAGUGCAACCUGACUUCCAGGUCCUCUCUUGAACUCUCUACAACUCCCAGCAACUUCUGACAUUCAAAAGGCUUGUGCAUGUAAGGGGCCCUGGCACAUCAAGUUCAUUAGUCUCAAGAUUCUUUUCCCAUAUAGGUUA